rnacentral:tRNA from 1 species
GCACACUUAGCUCAGUGGUUAGAGCACCCUUCUAGAGUUCAGGUAAAAUAGAUCAUGGGUUUGAAUCCCAUAGUGCACA